GAUGAACGCUGGCGGCGUGCCUAAUACAUGCAAGUCGAGCGAACGGACGAGAAGCUUGCUUCUCUGAUGUUAGCGGCGGACGGGUGAGUAACACGUGGAUAACCUUCCUAUAAGACUGGGAUAACUUCGGGAAACCGGAGCUAAUACCGGAUAAUAUUUUGAACCGCAUGGUUCAAAAGUGAAAGACGGUCUUGCUGUCACUUAUAGAUGGAUCCGCGCUGCAUUAGCUAGUUGGUAAGGUAACGGCUUACCAAGGCAACGAUGCAUAGCCGACCUGAGAGAGUGAUCGGCCACACUGGAACUGAGCCACGGUCCAGACUCCUACGGGAGGCAGCAGUAGGGAACCUUCCGCAAUGGGCGAAAGCCUGACGGAGCAACGCCGCGUGAGUGAUGAAGGUCUUCGGAUCGUAAAACUCUGUUAUUAGGGAAGAACAUAUGUGUAAGUAACUGUGCACAUCUUGACGGUACCUAAUCAGAAAGCCACGGCUAACUACGUG
rnacentral:rRNA from 1 species